rnacentral:lncRNA from 1 species
AUUUAAUAACACACAUAUACAUAUCAGGAGUACUUGUACAUAUUAUUUUAACAGUACAGAAUAACUUGAUCAAUCAAAGAAUAAAAAAUAAAAAAAGCAAGAAACUACAUAUAUAAAAGGGGAAAUAAAAGAGAUCAUUUGAUCAUAUUUUAAAAAAUAAAUAAAUAAAUAAAUAAAAUCAGAGUUGUUAAUUAGUUAACAACUAGUUACCAGCUCCAGGGCUGGGGCCAGAUUUCUUGAUUCCACCAAGAGUUAAAGCAUGCCCAUCUCCACCAUGGCUCGGCCCCCCGGUUUUCACCCCCUCGACGUACAAAUCCUCCAAAAUUUUCACUAUCUCCAUUUCAAUG